GACGAACGCUGGCGGCGUGCUUAACACAUGCAAGUCGAGCGGAGCGGCGAACGGGUGAGUAACGCGUGAGUAACUGCCCCCCUCUCUGGGAUAACAGUUGGAAACGGCUGCUAAUACCGGAUAGUGGGGGUUGACUCGCGUCCAAUCAGCUUGUGGGUGGGGUAGUGGACGCCCAAGGCGACGGCGGGUAGCCGGCCUGGGAGGGCGACCGGCCACAGUGGGCUGAGAUACGGCCCAAAAGCGUACGGGAGGCAGCGGGGGGGAAUAUUGCACAAGGGGGGAAACCCUGAUGCAGCAACGACGCGUGCGUGAUGACGGCAUUCGAGUUGUAAACCGCUUUCAGCCAUGACGCGGUAGUGGCAGAAGAAGCACCGGCUAACUACGUGCCAGCAGCCGCGGUAAUUC
rnacentral:rRNA from 1 species